rnacentral:rRNA from 1 species
AACGAACGCUGGCGGCAUGCCUAAUACAUGCAAGUCGAACGAUCACUUCGGUGGUAGUGGCGCACGGGUGCGUAACGCGUGGGGAUCUACCCUGGGGUUCGGAAUAACAGUUAGAAAUGACUGCUAAUACCGGAUGAUGACGAAAGUCCAAAGAUUUAUCGCCCAAGGAUGAGCCCGCGUAGGAUUAGCUAGUUGGUGAGGUAAAAGCUCACCAAGGCGACGAUCCUUAGCUGGUCUGAGAGGAUGAUCAGCCACACUGGGACUGAGACACGGCCCAGACUCCUACGGGAGGCAGCAGUAGGGAAUAUUGGACAAUGGGGGCAACCCUGAUCCAGCAAUGCCGCGUGAGUGAUGAAGGCCUUAGGGUUGUAAAGCUCUUUUACCCGAGAUGAUAAUGACAGUAUCGGGAGAAUAAGCUCCGGCUAACUCCGUGCAAGCAGCCGCAGUAACAC